ACCAGGAUGGCCGAGUGGUUAAGGCGUUGCACUCAAGAUUCAAUGGACAUCAUAAGUCCUCGUGGGUUAAAAUCCCACUCCUGGUA